AAUAUGAAUUCAUACGUAGCUGAUUUGACUUUCCAAGUAUGGCGACGAUGCGAAUAUCAACAUUGGCAGCCUGCAUCUUGCUUGCUUCACAGACUACUAUAUCUUCGGGACAAGCCGUGAGGGGUGCACGACAAGGAAGGGCUACUUCGCAGGUUUUGCCAACCUCAACACCAUGCAUUGCCACUCGGACAUUCCUGGAGGAGUUGCGGCAGAUGCUGAACACAGAACAGGAAACGUCAGUUCCUGUUAAAGGGUAAUGGCGGAGCGGUCUACACUCGAUGGGGAAAAACUGAAUGUCCGUCUAAAACUCAACUUGUAUAUAAAGGUAAUACAAACCCAAGAUC